rnacentral:rRNA from 1 species
GGCCUACCAUGGUGGUAACGGGUAACGGGGUGUUAGGGCACGACACCGGAGAGGGAGCCUGAGAAACGGCUACCACAUCCAAGGAUGGCAGCAGGCGCGCAAAUUACCCAAUCCCGACACGGGGAGGUAGUGACAAUAAAUAACAAUACGGGGUUCUUUCGGAUUUCGUAAUUGGAAUGAGUACAAUUUAAAUCUCUUAACGAGGAACAAUUGGAGGGCAAGUCUGGUGCCAGCAGCCGCGGUAAUUCUAGCUCCAAUAGCGUAUAUUAAAGUUGCUGCAGUUAAAAAGCUCGUAGUUGAAUUUCGGGACCAAUAUGUCGGUCGUGCCUCGGUACGUACUGGCAUCGUUGGUUUCUCCCUUCUGACGAACCAUGAUGUCAUUUAUUUGGUGUCGUGGGGAAUCAGGACUGUUACUUUGAAAAAAUUAGAGUGUUUAAAGCAGGCUCACGCUUGAAUACAUUAGCAUGGAAUAAUGAAAUAGGACGUUUGAUUCUAUUUUGUUGGUUUCUAGGAUCGACGUAAUGAUUAAUAGGGAUAGUUGGGGGCAUUAGUAUCCAAUAGUCAGAGGUGAAAUUCUUGGAUUUAUUGAAGACUAACUACUGCGAAAGCAUUUGCCAAGGAUGUUUUCAUUAAUCAAGAACGAAAGUUAGGGGAUCGAAGACGAUCAGAUACCAUCGUAGUCUUAACCAUAAACUAUGCCGACUAGGGAUCGGAUGAUGUUAAUUUUUUAAUGACUCAUUCGGCGCCUUACGGGAAACCAAAGUGUUUGGGUUC